UCACUGAGUGCUUGCUACAGCCACUGGAGGCCUGCAGCUCAACUAUUUCAUGAUCACACACACGUGGGCUGCCACUAUUACGUCCAAAAGAAUACUUGAUCUUUUAAAUUUUUUUCAUGGGGCUUGGGGGUAAUGAGGAGUGACAGAAAGUGUAAGCGGAACUUUUAGAUCAACAUUACAAAAGGUUUAUUUUAUCUGAAGAUUGCAUUUUAAAAGUUUGUCAGGUUAAAAUAUUUCACAUUGAAGAGAAAUACCAAUGUGCUUUUUUCUGGACUCCAAAAAGUUUCGACAUUGCUUGAUUUCAUAAGGGCUGACGGGUAACAACAUCCUGCCUUGGGACCCUGAGUUAGAGAGAGAUUCCACCCUGCCUGUCCUGAUCCACAUCACCUCUAGCACCAACUCUUCCCAGUGGGGCCGUUCUCAGAACUUCCUGUAUUGCAGUAUGGUAACAUUAUCUGAGGAUUAUUAAAACAUUCCACUGGCUUUUGAUGGCAUCAGAAGAAUUCCUGAAACACGAGUGGAGAUCAGGCUUAAAUCUAAAAUGUUCAUCAUGUGAUUGGACUUCGAUAUGGGCACAGCGGCAAAGACCUGCGACUGGAAGCAGUAGAAUAUUUUCAAAUGUCUGCUCGCCUGUUCAAGUUUGGUGCCUCUUAUCACAACCAGGACAGUGCUGUGAUUUUGAGCCCUUGGUUAUGAGCUGUUAGUUGCAAUCUGGAUGUGUUAUAAUAGGAAAAAUAAUGAUCUCAGAUGGAACAUGUUUCUCUUUGUUUAGUUAAAUUCAGUUUGUUUUUUAUACCAAAUCUUUCAAAUCAUGGAAUCACAUUGGUAGAAAGAUUGGGAAUCACCAGUAUAGCCUACCUGCAGAACAGCUCUUAGGUCCAUCCUCUUCACCCCACUCCAACUGCAAUUGCCCUAGUUUCCUCCCUUUCCUUUCCCUUAAGCUGUUAUAAAAGACGUCUAACUAGCCUUCCAUCCUUGUGCCUGACUUGAUCAUACAUAUUGCUAUUCAAUUAAUCAUGAUCAAAAAUUUUCCACACGGGGCUGGCCCCGUGGCCGAGUGGUUAAGUUCGCGCGCUCCGCUGCAGGCGGCCCAGCGUUUCGUUGGUUCGAAUCCUGGCGCGGACAUGGCACUGCUUAUCAAACCACGCUGAGGCAGCGUCCCACAUGCCGCAACGAAAAGGACCCACAAAUAAGAAU
rnacentral:lncRNA from 1 species